rnacentral:rRNA from 1 species
ACUCCUACGGGAGGCAGCAGUAAGGAAUUUUCCACAAUGAACGAAAGUUUGAUGGAGCGAUGCAGCGUGCAGGAUGAAGGUUCUUGGACUGUAAACUGCUGUGGUAGAAGAAGAAAAGCUGGGAUAGGAAAUGAUCUUAGUCUGACGGUAUUCUACUAGAAAGUGACGGCUAACUAUGUGCCAGCAGCCGCGGUAAUA